CUACGGCCAUAUCACAUUAAAACACUGGCUCUUGUAUGAUCACCAAAGUUAAUCAAUGUCAAGUUUGGUCAGUACCUAGAUGGGUGACCACUUGGGAAUACAAGGUGAUGUAAG